CGCUGAACCGGAAGUACAAUGACGCCCUCCACCGGAAGUGACUUUACCUUCCUGUGAGUUGUUGCUAGGUGACGGUGUCAUGCAGUAAUGUCGUCUCUGUUUGAUGAUGUAGUUUGCAAGGGAGCUGCUGGACUACUUAGUUGUGCAAACACUUGUGGAUCUGUGACAACUACCCUUACUUGUGACCGGUCUGGGUUGGUGGCAGCCGCCAUACAGCACUACAAAUACUGCAUGCGCUAGUAGCUGUAGAGUCCUUAGCCCAACCCCAUAAGCUAUAAUAUCCUGCGCCGUGUGCCGGGCCCCUCCUUUAUGUUUAUUACUGGUCCCAGGAACAAGGGGCGAAGAUUUCACAAGUGUCGUGUGGAGGGGAACGAUCCUAGCCAGCUAGCAUGGAGAAUAUGAUAGAGCAAUACAGAGCAGUGCUUCUAAAAGCAGCAUGGAGGACAUGAUAGAGCAGUAUUGAGCAUUCUUCUUUUUACCUCUGCAUUCUUCAUAGACUUUUAUGGGAAGUAUGGAAAACAUCAUAGAGCAGUGCUAAGCAGUGUAAGCAGUUAAUCCAGGAUUGGAGGAAGAUAUAACACUUACUAGAACUUUAAACCACUUCUAUAUAUCUCCAUACUUGUUUCACGCUGCAGCUAGGCUCUCUUCCUUCUUCCAACUUCAUAGACUUUUUGGGCUACUGUAAUCUGAUCCCUCAGUAAUCCAUCAGGAGCAGGGUUUUAGCAGUUUUU